GUCGAAACGGUGGUGGAUGGGUUCUGAUUUCUUUCGCAUAUUUUACACUCCUUUCCAAUCAGGGAGAUGAGUAAGGGGUGGAGCCAGUUCCAACCACGGGCUAUACCCACACCGGUAUAGGGGCUGGACGAUAAAGAAUGAGGAUAAUCGGGCCGUGCCCAACACCCCGAAAUCUUUUCAGGAGUUACCAGACCCGGGAGGAUAACCCGGAUACUCCCGCCAGACAGUCGGACAGCGUUACCAGUCGGCCAUCCAGCCGCGAUGGAUUCUGAUCGACGAUCGGCCAGUCGCGUACUAUUGUCAGUAGCGUGGGCAGUUAAGUUGGACCUGCACAGACUAAAGAGGUCGGCCAGCACCGGAAAAGAAUGGCGGAAGAUAUUUGGAAAAAGGUUAUACGGAAACGUCCGAAAGAAGAGAGAAAUAAGUCUUUCUACAAAAUUAUCGUAUCGCCCGAGAAAAAGCGGCUGAUUAAACCGGCUAAGUAGGUAGAAGUUUAAUAGAGUGAGUGGUAGUAGCGGAAGUGGGAGCCGGCCGACGGAGGGCCCGCCAAUUAGCGGACGCCAACGGACGGGAGGAAGUAAGGGGAAGUUGAACGGGCCAUCGACCCGCUGGAAGGACGAAGUUAUUUUAAUUUGUCACGCUUAGCGUAAUUAUUCGUGUUAGAUGGAAGGAGCGACGGUCAGUAGGGAAAUAUUUAAUUAAAUUAUUCGACAAAAAGUAUCGGUAACCUCCGGCCAAAACCAAUGAGUGUCGGCGGUAAAGUUAAAGAGGGUUUUCUGUCCGUUAAGGGAGAAUGGUCCAUUAAAAUUAAAACAGGUAAAUUAACUAGCGGAAGAGGAAGCCGCGCUGGCCCAACCCUACCUUCGGCCAGUCAUGUCUGUUCCCAGCCAUUUUCCGGGCUCGGAAAUCAAAUUGCAGAAUAAUAAUGUUAGCGCAUGCAGCCGGCCCCAUAAUAUUCGGAGCUGGGGCCUAGAGUCGACGGGGGCUGGCCCCGAAUAAUUUUUUUCGGCCAUUAAUAUACUACCAAAAUUAAUAAAAUGUAAGACUAAAUAUACGUUGUAUUACCCGGACGAAAGCCGAGGCGUUGUAUACGAAAGUUACGUAAGUUACCAUCGAAGGUCGAUUUUCCUUACGUAAGACCAAGGAAGAAAGGCAGGUAAGGCGGCGGCUCUUCGCAUCUUUUUUCCGCGCCAUAGCACCCUCCCAGCGGGAUGGACCCAUAGCUUCGGGUCCCGGCUCUUUUCCGAGGAUAAGAAGCGCGGAAGAGGAGAAAACCAAGGCGGCCCGCCACCAAACUCCGGUAGCGGUAGACCGGUAGAAAGAUACAGCGAUAGAUCCGGGUGAGGUCGGCCAAAAGCCAUCUUCUCAGUCUGCCAGAUAGAAAUGGAGUGAAGCGGACUAAUCUGGCUUUCUCUGUCAAUCCUAAUUGCAGUUAGAGUAGGGAAUUUCUUAUCCGUCCGAUAAAAAGUGUCGACUCUAUCCCGGCGGUGCCCCACUGAUACCGGCCAGCCGGGCCCGAUGGAAGGAUGGGACCGUCCGAGACCGUAGCCGAGUGGCGUCUUCUGUCUAGCUGGGAAUAGAUUGGACGGCUGCCAGAGUCGGUCGGCCACCCGACCCCGGUGGGAUGGGGGCACCGCCGCCGGUUAUUUCGCCCCUACUCGCUCGGCCUUUUCGGGCCAGUGACGGAUGGCGGAAAGAUCCGCCCCAAAUGGUUUUCGGCUUGGCUAGGCUCGGUUAGCGGCGGAAGAUGGCUGGGCCCGAUAUUUUCCUCCGCGCCCACACCGGGCCGUUUAUAUUCCGUGGUAGACGUACACAAACAACCGGUCUCGACCCGUCGCUAUUUUACGAGCGUGUGUCCGGGCUCGAUAAGAAGGUGACCGGCGCGCCGCGCUGCUACAAAUUAUCCCCGGUUUAUACGCUACUCUCGUUUGCGGCCUUUUUCCGGUGCUGAUAAGCGCCGGACCCACCCGGAUUCCGACCCGAGGACCCGAUUCGGGCCAUUGGUCUCCCCUUCGGGCUAUUGGGAAUUCCGCAUCUGGGGAAGCCGCCUAUUUUCCGCCCCCGCAGUCCGGCAGUUCCAGUCUCUGGCUCUUCUUCAUUUAAUGUAUAACGGGUGGCGAAUAGUUAUUCGGCUGGGCCGGCCUAUCCCAUUCCGCCCCUCUCCCUUACAACCGCCGACCGCCAGAAAUUCCUACUCUACGGGUUAGGCGGCCGCUUAUUACCAGUUAAAAAAUAAAUAAAUAAAAUGGCCGAACUGAGAUUCCAACUAUCGAUAUAUCAACUAUUACCUACUAAUAAUUAUUAAUUAAUGGUACCUAGCCCUACCCUUCCACCACCGAGAUAACUGUCAGGCCAGACCACGGCUUUUUAUUUACCGUAAUAAUUAAACCCGACCAUUAAAUUCGUUUUUAAUCGAUUUACUCGACCCAUAUUUGGGAAUCUGACAAGAUUCCAAUUUUCUUCACUUCUUUCUCGAUCAUUUUAGAUCCGACUGGGACGCGAUUCACUUACCUUCUUCUCUUUUUUCUCCGCGACUCCCGUUGAUAAAAAUAACGCGCUACAAACUUUUCCUAUUUCUGCCUAAUAACUUUGGGCGUACGGUAAGGAGUGAGGUGAAUUCGGACCGUUAAUUGGUUCGACUACCUCGGUUUCUUUCCUUCCCGCUCCUACUCGAUUUGAAUAGCGUCGUGCCUCUGGAUUACCGACACGGACCUGUAGUACUCCUUCCGAUUAAAAUCUGGAAAUAUCUCCAUCCGAACAAAAACAAAUUAAAGAAGGCCCGAUAGAUUCCGACGGAAACAAUUUUUAAAAUUUUAAAAUAUUCCGAUUUUAUUAACGGGCUACCAUUUGUCAUUUAUUUAGCCCGGUCGUCUCUCGUUUCCUGAGUAAAUGGUCUCUUUUCAAACUUUCACGGCUAGUGUAAAAUACGCCCGUAUUAUUAUUAAGGGACCUUCCGGUAUGACGUUCGGCAUAAUUUUGGUCAUUUUGAACUUCCUCUCCUCCGUGUCGGGCCCGACCGGCCUUCCAUCCAUUCCCUACCGAGUUACGGCAAAU
rnacentral:lncRNA from 1 species